UUUUGGACCCCACUCAACCUUUAUAAGCCUACUCACUUUUUCCAUUCUAGGGGUCCUGUCAAAGAGUUUGUACCACCCACACAGCUGCCAUUUAAUUUUAAACGUCACAUCCAAAAGUUAUUUAUCUGAGGUUUCACCACAGUCUUGUCAAAAAAUACAUACAUUUUAAGUUGUGCACAAACAAAAUAUUGUUCUAUUGGAUUUUGCUGCCUAGGCAUGAUGUGUCACACUUUCUUCUGCUUAUGGUAUUUCACACUGGUUUUGUGGCUUUUGAUCACAUGAUUGUUAAAUGGAGAACAGGAAAUGGGUGAGAACUGAAACUUGUGACAUUUCAACAAGUGUCAGCUCAUGUGUUAUUGACAGUUGAGCCCAUUGAGCCUUAGCCUAUGCAAAUCAUCCAAUAGUUUUUUUUCACCUGUUAGACUCAUAAAUGUUACCAUUUUCCUAAAUGACAAAAUUGAACAUAUUGGCUAUUACUUCUUUUUCUCUCAGAGGACUGUAGUGUCUUUAACUGACAAAGUUUGAAGAAAAUAUGUAGCCACGACAUUUUUUCAAUAGUUACAUCAACCUGUGUAUUGUCAUAGCCAGCAUAUUCAGUCUGCUGGCAAACCGGCUACAACUCAAGAUGGUCACAGCAGCUGCAGUUUCUAGUUCAGAUCAUUUUGUAAUAGCUAAAUCAUAGAAAGACACUUAGAGAACAGAGGUGUUUUGUGAGAAGAUUGAUGCCUGUCAGCGAUUAUUGAUCUCUUGGCAGAUAGACAGAGGUAGCAGCAGUUCCCAGGAGACUGUGGACACCAUCUGGACUGGAAAGAGUUGCAAACAGACUCCAUGUGCGCCGCUGUGUUGGUCUUGGAUUAAGAAGUAGAAGUUAAGUGCAACUGAAAACUGAUAAUGUGGCAAACAUUCCAAUUAGGCUUUUGUAGGCUGAUAAUAGACAAUAAUGUUAAGUGCUGUCCUCCACCAAAAUCUUGUAAUUACAUUGUCUUUUUUUUCUCAAAAUCAAAAACAUCUUAACAGCAUGAACUUUUAAACGGUAAUGUAAAUUGUAUCAUUGUGUAAUGGUUUAAUAUGUGUGGAAAUAUUAUAUGGAAUCCAUGGCUCAAAUGCCAUGAUUAACAAACAAUAACAAGGCACUUAUUUGACAAAUUAUCUGCAUACAACAAGUAGAAACAAAGUUGACAAAAACUGCUAGUUCCCCAAAUAGGUUGAUUAAUAUAAAAUAAGAUUAGUAACCCUGACAGGUAAUAUUGAUGCACGAGUAAAAUUAAUAUCAUAUUUAUAAAAUAUCUGAUGUCUUUAUUCACAAGGGAACAGAACAAUUCAUGAUUGAUUUUUUUCAUAUACACUUUUGUUAAUUCACUUGUGCUUAAUACUCAGUGAAAUUAAAUUACAAUAAUAUCAAUGGGAACCUCAAUA